UACGAAGGGUGCAAGCGUUACUCGGAAUUACUGGGCGUAAAGCGUGCGUAGGUGGUUCGUUAAGUCUGAUGUGAAAGCCCUGGGCUCAACCUGGGAAUGGCAUUGGAAACUGGCGAUCUAGAGUGCGGUAGAGGGUAGUGGAAUUCCCGGUGUAGUGGUGAAAUGCGUAGAUAUCGGGAGGAACACCAGUGGCGAAGGCGACUACCUGGCCUGUUCUUGACGCUGAGGCGCGAAAGCUAGGGGAGCAAACGGG
rnacentral:rRNA from 1 species